CGGGAUGUAGCUCAGCUUGGUAGAGCACCACGUUCGGGACGUGGGGGUCAUGGGUUCGAAUCCCGUCAUCCCGA
rnacentral:tRNA from 1 species